rnacentral:lncRNA from 1 species
UAUGUAAAUAUAUAUCCCCAAAGCCGACCUUGAGAAGGAAAUUCACUGAGCCAUUCCUUACGAGUGUUCCCAGGAGAAACAGGAAAGUGAGAAGUCAAGUCGGUCCAAGAAGAAUAAAGAGGCCAAGCCCAGUUGCAUAUCAGCAAUCUCACAGAGAGAGCUGCCUCAGUCCCUCGAGGCGUCUCUUUCUGCAGCCCAUGCUGGAGUGC